rnacentral:rRNA from 1 species
GAUGAACGCUGGCGGCGUGCUUAACACGUGCAAGUCGAACGAAGCACUUUAUUUGAUUUCCUUCGGGACUGAUUAUUUUGUGACUGAGUGGCGGACGGGUGAGUAACGCGUGGGUAACCUGCCUUGUACAGGGGGAUAACAGUUGGAAACGGCUGCUAAUACCGCAUAAGCGCACAGCAUCGCAUGAUGCAGUGUGAAAAACUCCGGUGGUAUAAGAUGGACCCGCGUGGGAUUAGCUAGUUGGUGAGGUAACGGCCCACCAAGGCGACGAUCCAUAGCCGACCUGCGAGGGUGCCCGGCCACAUUGGGACUGAGACACGGCCCAAACUCCUACGGGAGGCAGCAGUGGGGAAUAUUGCACAAUGGGCGAAAGCCUGAUGCAGCGACGCCGCGUGAGCGAAGAAGUAUUUCGGUAUGUAAAGCUCUAUCAGCAGGGAAGAUAAUGACGGUACCUGACUAAGAAGCACCGGCUAAAUACGUG